GAAGUAACCUAAUAUGAACUUCUAAUUCAUAAAUUAUGAUUUACUCAUAUUACUUCU
rnacentral:tRNA from 1 species